CUAAGUAUUCCCAGCAGACUCUUCAUGCUGUCGCUCCCCCUUUUUCCUCGCGAAAUCGAGUUUAUGACAUUUUUGUAUGAGAGAACUCAUUCCUUUUGGGAAAGGGGUUUGCAUAUCCUAGUUUGACACCAAGCAAUGAAGCUCUUUCUCUAAUAGAAUUUUCCUAAAUUCUUUUCUACUGAGAGUUUGUCAUUAACCAAAACUUUUUUAUAUACACAAUUAGGUAUUGUGAGGAGCCGAAUAAGGUCUUUCACUGGAAAGGAAAGCAUCAUAAAAUAAGGAAAUAGGUUAAGCCGGAUUUCUCGUGACU
rnacentral:lncRNA from 1 species